rnacentral:rRNA from 1 species
GAUGAACGCUGGCGGCGCGCCUAACACAUGCAAGUCGAACGGUUAAAGCACCUUUUAGGUGUGUAUAAAGUGGCGAACGGCUGAGUAACACGUGGGCAACCUGCCCUCCUCUUGGGGAUAGCCUCGGGAAACCGAGGAUAAUACCCGAUACUUCAAUGUGGCCGCAUGACGACAUUGAGAAAGCUUUUGCGGAGAAGGAUGGGCCCGCGGCCUGUUAGCUUGUUGGUGGGGUAGGGGCCUACCAAGGCAAUGAUGGGUAGCUGGGUUGAGAGACCGACCAGCCAGAUUGGGACUGAGACACGGCCCAGACUCCUACGGGAGGCAGCAGUGGGGAAUCUUGCACAAUGGGCGAAAGCCGGAUGCAGCGACGCCGCGGGCGGGACGAAGGCCUUCGGGUUGGAAACCGCUUUCAGCAGGGACGAGGCGAUAAGUGACGGUACCUGCAGAAGAAGCCCCGGCUAACUACGUG